rnacentral:rRNA from 1 species
GACGAACGCUGGCGGCGUGCUUAACACAUGCAAGUCGAACGGAAAGGCCCUGCUUUUGUGGGGUGCUCGAGUGGCGAACGGGUGAGUAACACGUGAGUAACCUGCCCUUGACUUUGGGAUAUCUUCAGGAAACUGGGGCUAAUACCGGAUAGGAGCUCCUGCUGCAUGGUGGGGGUCGGAAAGUUUCGGCGGUUGGGGAUGGACUCGCGGCUUAUCAGCUUGUUGGUGAGGUAGUGGCUUACCAAGGCUUUGACGGGUAGCCGGCCUGAGAGGGUGACCGGGCACAUUGGGACUGAGGUACGGCCCAGACGGCAACGGGAGGCAGCGGUGGGGAAUAUUGCACAAUGGGCGGAAGCCUGAUGCAGCGACGCCGCGUGCGGGAUGACGGCCUUCGGGUUGUAAACCGCUUUCGCCUGUGACGAAGCGUGAGUGACGGUAAUGGGUAAAGAAGCACCGGCUAACUACGUG